ensembl:lncRNA uncharacterized LOC109022624
AUGCAGGGCAGGAGGUGCCACUGUGCUGUGCAAGACUUGGCCUUCCACAAGGGAGCUGUGAUGCCCACAUCUUCCCAGCUAUGCCAACAGCAGCCUUCACCUCUCCAGAGCCCAACCAAGGCAGCUCCUCCACGUGGUGCCAGCAGGGAGAUCCCUGUGCUGCUCCAGCUGCAGCCCACAGCAAGCUUGUUGUCUCCUGGAGAAUUGCAAAACCCGGAGCUUCGCUGCAGCUCUAAGAAGCUCAGAAAGAGACAGAACCUGCUGGAAGGCAGACGCCCACGUCGGCGCUGGGCCAGCUCGAACCUUCCAGGCUGUUUCGCAGCCCCGCAGCUGCUUGGCAAGGACACUGCUGACCCUCCCACGUCACAGCCCCGAGCAGCCGGGGCCAGCUGUGUCCAGGCGCUGGGCUGGGCUUGCUGUUUUUCUGCUUUAUCAGGAUCUUGCUGAGCUCGGCGGUGAGUGGGUCAUGUUUGUGCAGUGCUGGUUAUGUAAGCGCUCAGGGUUGCCCCGGAGGCUCGGCCGGAGCCGGGGACAGCCGAUCCCGCAGCCCUGCGCUCCGGGCAGUUGUGUCGCUGUCCCGGCUCGUUACGGAGGUGCCCGGCGUGUCCCUGAGCUGCCCGAGGCCCGGUGCCGUCAGGCUGCAGGCCAGGGGCCGCUGGCCGAGCCGCGCACCGGGGCAGCGCUGCAGCAGCCGCGGUCACCCCGCGCUGGCUCCCGGCGCUGCCAAGCGGCCGCGCCUGCUCCAGUAACCCAGCUCCUGAAGGUCGCUGGCUGGAGGCCGGGCUCGCGUUCCAUCUGCCUGCUUUUAUUAUUGAUUGUCCUUAUCAUCGCUUGAGAGAACAGCAUGUCCCAAACAGCCGGGGGCAGGACUGGGCUCCCUGCCGCUGCUGCUGCCUUUUGCCCAAGCUCUGUCUCUCCCCAGUGGAGAGGUGCGAGCACCAAAAGCUGCGCUGCCGCUGUCACCUCUGCCCACAUGCACAAGCCACGAUGCCACGAGCUGCGGCCAAGAGACAGCAGUGUUCCUGUACCCGCUGCCAUGAGUACCUCUUCCUCUUGCCGCUGUCUCCAUCCCAAGCGCAGGUUCCCACACAGGAACAGAUCCCUGCAUCCCCGUUCCCGGGAUGUGCUCCCAGCAGGACCCUCAGAACGCACAUCCCAUCUCUCUGUCACUGUGCCUUGGUCCAGCACCCACUGACCUGGAGGCUGCAGGGGCAUGGGAGGGGACAGGGGACCCUGAUCAGUCAGAGCAAGUGGUGCUGCUCCAUCACAGCCCAGCUGGGCUGGGACAGCCGCCAGGCAGAGCACAGGUGUGAAAUGGUAUGAGCAGCCCUGGGCUGCGAGCACCUCUGCUGCUGCUAGCCCAGACACCGGAAGGAUAAGCAAGGGGACACCUGGGUGGCAGCAGGGACAUGUCCAGGUGGCAGGAAAAGAGAAAGAAGGGAAG